GUUCCUCUUCGUCUUCUUCUCAUCUUGUCGUGCUUGUUUUCGGAUCAUCUAGCUGCUGCUCCUGACUGCAUGCAGGGCUUCAGUAUUAGUGUCAUCUCCAAAGAUGGACACUGGCCACAGCUGCAUAUGCGUCUGAUCCGUGAUCUACGGACACGGCUACAUCUUUCUGAGGUAUCAAUACUGUGAGAACAUCUCAUCUUCACUUCUUGCUUCUAUGUCUACAAACAGAUUUUCAGUAGGUGACAAAUGGCAUCAUAUAUAUGAAUCACCCAGGUGAAUGAGUUAUUUUGAAUUGCAUUACUCAUACCACUCUGUUGAUGCUUCAUGAAGAGCUCAGAUUGGAUGUUCUAUGUAGAAGCAUAAGUACCUUUCCCACUGUGGUGGGAAAUAUGUAAGACCUGUUAUGCGGAAUUAGACUUCCUUCAAAUAACCUAUCAUUACUGGAACACGAGAAUGUCAGAACUGUUUCAGCCAUAUGUUGGAGCGUAACAGCUUAUGAAACAGUUUCAGAAAACAUGAAAAUAUAGAUAAAAGGUUCACAAAUUAAAAUAACCAGUCAGGAAGAGAGGCAGCUACCACAGAAAUAAAAGUACUGGGAAACAGGUGGUUUCUUAUUCUUUUUAUAUGUCUUAGUAAAGAUAUGAAACCAAAUGUAUGUUGCUGUGCUCAGUAUGAACAUAAAUUUAACUGGCCACAAUGUUGUGAUUGUGCUUGUUCUCAAUGCUUGUUCCAAGAAGAAAAAAAUGGCACACAGUGACAUUCAUUGAUGCUUGCUUAAAGUUUAUGGAGACCAAAAAGUGAUCAUGAGCACAGUGCUGCAGCAGGAGGUGCAUUUUAGCGGUGGUGACAGCAAUGUGAAAGACAAUUCAUGUUCUGGACAGCCAUGCACAGCUAUCAUACAACAAUAUGAAGAACAUCUCAAUCAGCACAUCUGUACAAAUUGGCUAAUAACGAUGACUGUCUUGAAAAAGAGUAUUUUGUAGCUGACAAUUUUCUCUAUUAUAAAUAGUGUAAUUGAGCUCUUUAUAUCUGCUGUAGGAGACAUUACUUUCUAUUCCAACUGUAAAAACUUGGCAUCCUUUUUCAACAGCCUAAAUAUCAUUCUUGCUUGUACGUCAGUUUUCUUUUUAGAGUUUUCCUUGAGUUUAAGGUAGUGGUGUGUCCUUUGAUUCACCUUCAUCUUUUGCUCUGCUCUUGUCCUUAGAAUUUCAUCUGGAUUUAACUACCAAUAUUUUUUUCCCAUUGCUUACUCUAAAUACCCUUAUUGAAAAUUACAUAGAGAUACAAGAUUUCUCUUUUUUCAAGACUGUGCAAAUCAGUAGAAAGAUUUAUAUUAAUUUAAAAUACUUUUGGAAUGAGCCUAUAUUAAUAUUACAUGUACAAAAUUAUGUUGCCUAGUGAUGAACUGAGCUGAGACUUCUCAGCUGUAAAGGAGCUAGCUGUUGUUUCACAUUCUAAUGUUGCUCAGCACUUCAAAGGAGGAGGACUGUGCUCUUGCAGGUUACUUAUAUUCCCACAGAAGCUCCAAUUUGACAUGGUAUGUUACAUGGUUCUAGUGAAUUCUGCUUAUUUUCAUUUAUGGAAGAAACUGAUAGUAUAUUAAUGAUACUCUAGGUGUCAUUUAGAUAUCAGGUAGAGGCCUACAGACUCAUUCUUAAUUAUAGUGACAAAAUAAAAAAAGCCAAAACUUCAUCAGAUGAAAAACGAUCCUGAUGUUAUCAACAGUUUCUUCCAAAUAACCCUAUUAUUUUUGACUGAGGAUAAAUUAUAUUUUCCCAUGCAAAAUAUGAAGUACAGUAAUAAGAACCAUAAUAAACUUUUCGAUUUAAAUUGCCCAAUUAGUUCAGAUACUAAAUGACAUAGUAGGUUAAGCUGUAUACAUCAGGAUAGCAACGAACAUGUUUUUUUCCCUAACCUUUUUCAGUAGUGCAUUACCUAUAUGCAUUUCUAAAUAGUAGCUAAUAUCACCCAUUUUCUUUCUAUUCUGAUUAUUAUAGGAAGAUUAAGCAUUUAUUGCAAGUUAGGAGAGAAAAAACGCUGAAAAGAAAGCUGAAAGAAAAUUGAGGCAAAGACAAAGGACAGUUAUUAAAUUUGAGAACUCUAUCAGGGAAGAAGAAAAUAAACGAUAUGACAGACUAGAAGUGUAUUAGGGUUUGAUUUUCGUUUUUAUGCACAUCUUGGUGUGAUAAAGGUAACACAUUGAAAAGCACUACAAGUCCACAAAAGCCCUGAAUAUCAAGGUGGCUAAAGUCUAUCUCUUUAAUUGCCAUCUCAUGUUACAACAUGUAUGGGUUGCUCUGAAAGUAAUGCCUCCUAUUCAUUUCCAUGGAAAAUACAACAGAUACAAAGAGUGCAAUAACACUAAUUGACAGAGCAAAUUCUCACCUACAAAACACUCUUUUUCAACAUAGUCACUAUCAUUUUUAAAUGUGAUGAACAAGAGCCUGCAUGCCACACUUGUAAGAAUCUGCACCACUGGAGGUGACCACUGCCGCUACCGCUAAAAUGCACCAUCCACUGCCUCACUGUGCAUACAUUCACUGGUUGGCCUCCAUAAAUGCUCUGCAAGUGUCAGUGAGUGUCAACAGGUGCCAUUUUUUCAACAUGGAGGAAUUCAGUGACACACCUUUGCUUCUUCUGCACUUUCAUGUCAAAUACUAUAUUGUCAUACUGCCCCUCUGCUGCCAUCUGUCACACAGAAAUAAAAUGUAACAAAAUACUGGCGGGAAAGUUCAUCCUCUACUGCCAUGCCACCAACAUCUUUUUCUGAUAUGGGCCAAAAUAAGAAAAUAGGAGGCAUUACUUUUGGAGCAAUCCUAGCAGAUUUCCACUUAAAAUGUUCAACAUAGUUUUCAGAAGACUAGGCUUCAAUUUGUGCUCUGUCACCAGUUUUCUGCAUGACUUUAGAAAAGUUGGUUUAUUUCUUUCUGUUUAGUUUAACUUCAUGUUUUGUUUCCUUGGUUGCUACGUUUUGUCUAACAUUAUUUGUUUAGGUUGGGGCAUAGAUUUAGGCAAAGACUGUUGUUUUCUCAGAAUGCAUGCAGUAUUUUAUAAGAAAGGGCCAUUGUUUUGGUUGACUGCUGUAACAGUCAAAUAGUAAUUCAGCCAAACACCAUCAGGUUCAUGCUACUAUAGAAAUUCUAUAAGAAUGCUAAAAGACAGACACCCACAAUGUGUAACAACCCAGUUCUUUUUCUAAUGAAUAUGUGAAAAUGAAAUAAAAUGAAUAUAUUAUCUUUUCCCAUUACUUCUUUUUGAAUGUAAUCUCAAAACACCAUUUUUCAGCCCCAUAUAACAGACGGAACCCAUUCUCACUGAGAAAACUAACUUUCUGCCCCGAGAAAGUAACAACAUAUCUAAAAAAAAUAGCAGCAUUUAACUGAGAGGUAAAAUGAACUAGACAAUACAGUACCUCUGGCACUUACAUGGUUAGCAAACAUGCUAACAUUCUCCUUCAUAAAUACUAUAGUUUAUACAUUAUUGGCAAUUACUACAAAAAACUUAUGAAAACUACUAGAUUCACUAAUGUCCUCCUGGUUUAUGAUUUGAUAUAAGACACGUAAGACAUUAACAGAAGUGCUCCAUCCAUGCUCAGUGGCUCAUACCACUUCACAAAAGUGAAAAGUGUUCCUUAAAGUAUUCCUUAAAGUGUUCUGAACCGUGAAAUGCAGCAGUAGUGAAAGCCUUACAUAUGUUUUUGUACACGAGUAGAAGUUGUUUCGGUUAGAAAAGCAUUUAUCUCUUUAAGCUCUGUCCCCAUGUAUACGUACAUUUGUAUUUUUGCAGAUGUUUAUCUUCUUUUGUUUCAGCUAUCACUGGGAAACAGGAAGCAUAUUAUUACAUACUCAGGAGGGAGUCUUCUUGGUGGUUUGUGUGCCCAUAACCUCAGUGGACCCUGGAAUCUAGUAAGAGUUUUCUUGUGCUGCCACAUUCUCAAUACAAAUGGCCUCUUCAGAAAAUGCAUUGGCAGGCACACACUAGCCCAUGUUUAGUAUGAGUUAGUAACAUUUUUUCCAGUUUGUAAGUCAUCCAAAUUCAGGUGUCUUUCACACAGAUAAACAAAACAGCUCUCUGACCUUAUGUUGACCCUUCCUUCUAUUUUUUCCAGCUUGAAAAUGUCAAGAUUUUAUUUAAAAUAUGAAAAUGCUAGGUUUCUUGAUGCAGAAAACAAGGCUUGUUUUGUGAAGAUAAGGAAAACAAAAACAAAAACAAAA